rnacentral:rRNA from 1 species
UACGUAGGGUGCGAGCGUUAAUCGGAAUUACUGGGCGUAAAGCGUGCGCAGGCGGUUUGUUAAGAUAGGCGUGAAAUCCCCGGGCUCAACCUGGGAACUGCGUUUAUGACUGGCAAGCUAGAGUAUGGCAGAGGGGGGUGGAAUUCCACGUGUAGCAGUGAAAUGCGUAGAGAUGUGGAGGAACACCGAUGGCGAAGGCAGCCCCCUGGGCCAAUACUGACGCUCAUGCACGAAAGCGUGGGUAGCAAACAGG